UUUUGUUUUCAUUUUCUCCAAUCCAUCUAUUACGAAGAGUUAGAGUUCUGAUUUGCAAUUAUUGGUUUUGUUAUGUGUUCCUAAGAUGUCCAGAGCUUCGAAUUAACCCUACACAUCAGAGUACUCGAAGAUGAGCUCUAAAUCCUAUGGCCUGUUGUUAUAAUAAAGAACUGUGAACUAGUUACUUCUUUCUGAGCUACUUGAACAACUAAAAGGCUGGAUGGAGACCACCACUGGAGUGCAGGCUAUUCCAGUGAUGCAGCUCUUCCAUAGAUUGUCAUCAGCUGUUGGGGGUCCCUUUGUUGAUAGUGUAGAAGCUGAGAGCUUAAAUUUGGAGAAGCUGAUUAAGUGGUUUCUUGAUGAGAUGAAAAUUAACCAACCGUUUGUAGCCCGCACCUGCUCAUCUUUUGGGGAAGUUUCUAUUCUUAUCUUCAUGUUUUUCACCAUUAUGCUUCGUAACUGGAACCAACCGGCCAGUGAUGUUAGUGCAUCAAAAUCUUGUGGGACAACAGAUACAUCAGAGAAAAUGACAAUCCAGACGCACUCUUCCAUGUCAUUAUCCAAUUCAUCUAUGUCGGAUGGCCAAGAAAAGGGUGACUUUACCUCUUGUCUUCAUAGAGCAUGUGGCUAUCUUAUGCAGCAAGUAUUUGUUAAUUAUCUCAUGGAUAUCCUGCAGCAGCUUGUGCAUAUCUUCAAGACUCCUGUUACUGCUGAUACUCAUGGAUUGACCCAUGGUUUUGGCUGUGGUGCAUUGUUAACCGUUAGGAGAGAGCUCCCUGCUGGUAACUUUUCACCAUUUUUCUCAGAUUCAUACUCAAAAUUGCACCGUUGAGAUCUCUUUGCCGACUAUCACAGACUGUUGUUGGAGAACACAUUUCGUUUGGUAUACUGUUUAAUUCGCCCUGAAAAGCAUGAUAAAGGGGGGGAAAAAGAUAAGACUUACAAGACUUCUUCUGGAAAAGAUUUGAAACUCGAUGGAUAUCAGGAUGUUCUCUGCAGCUACAUCAACAAUUCAAAUACGACGUUUGUCCGGAGAUAUGCUAGGAGGCUGUUUCUGCAUAUAUGUGGGAGUAAGACACAUUACUACAGUGUGAGGGACUCUUGGCAGUUCUCAAGUGAAAUUAAGAAGCUCUACAAGCACAUCAAUAAGUCUGGUGGAUUUCAAUCUUCCAUCUCUUAUGAAAGGAGUGUGAAAAUAGUCAAGUGUCUCUCCACCAUUGCUGAAGUUUUUGCUGCAAGACCUAGAAACUGGCAGAAAUAUUGCUUGAGGCACAGUGAUGUCUUGCCUUUCCUCAUAAAUGGACUUUUCACCUUCGGAGAAGAAUGUGUUGUUCAAACACUGAAACUUUUAAAUUUGGCCUUCUACACAAGAAAGGAUGCCAAUCACACUUCACAGAAGGUUGAAAGUGGAGGAGAUGGAGCUAUAAGUUCAAAUAAGUUGGGGCUUCAAUCUGUUGAGUCUAAGAAAAAGAAGAAAGGUGAAGAAGGAAGUGAAUCUACUAAAGAGAAAUCUUACAUGGAUAUGGAACAGGUGUUGCAUGUCUUCACUGACCGUGGUGACGAUUUUCUGAAGCAAUUUAUUGACACAUUUUUGUUAGAAUGGAAUUCAAGCAUUGUGCGUGCGGAAGCCAAGUGUGUCGUACUUGGUGCUUGGCACCAUGGCAAACAGCCAUUCAAGGAGACACUGUUAUCUGUGCUCCUGCAGAAGGUGGAGUCAAAGACACGAUUGCAAUUGGUUCAUUGAGUUUAUUGUAAGCAAACAGAAAAUCUCGCAACUGCAGUCCCAAAGAAUAUAAAUGCAACAUGAGUACUACGCGGUCUUGGAUGUACAAUAGAAUGCAAAAUGGUAUUCUGAAUAGGGAUUUUAUUGUUGGGGUAGACAAUUUCUUAAGUACUGUAUGACCAGUCCAGAGGUGUAUAGGAUCGUUGCAAGAAUAUCAGAUUUCUUCCUUUCGAUGAUGUGAAAUACCACUUGUACUCAAGAGGAGUCGUUCGUUUUUAUGAAAGAUGGACAUGUCAUGGUGAGGAGCAUGACGGGAGUGGUAGCUCUAAUCAAUCAAACAGACAAGUACCAGAAAGUUUUGUUGAACCUGCAAUGGGUGAUUACACCCAAAUGGUGAUGGACGCUGGAGGUCCCGAUUUUGAGGCACGUGUUGUGGAAGCUGAAGAACCGAACCCAAAUGAUAAGAAAUUAUAUGACCUUCUCAGUGCGGCUGACAAGGAGUUAUGGGAGGGUUGCACAAAGGCAACUUUAUUAUCCACUGUGGCGAGGAUGCUAACUAUCAAAGCAGAUUUUAACUUGUCUGUGCGAUGGUAUGAUGCACAGUGCCAGCUAAUGCACGAUAUCAUGCCAGAGGACAAUUGUUUCGUGAAGAAUUUUUAUGAAACAAAAAAAUUGAUUGAGGGUUUGGGAUUGCCGGCACAAAAGAUUGACUGUUGUCAGUUGGGAUGUAUGUUAUUCUGGAAAGAAGAUGAGUGCUUAGAGUGUUGUAAGUUUUUUGAAAAACCACAUUAUAAAGUAAAAAAUGGGUGAUGGAGGCCGAUACAGUACAUGUUUUACUUGCCCAUCACACCAAGGUUGAAACGUCUAUUUGUAUCUACAAGGACGGCUUCGUAUAUGCGGUGGCAUGCGGGUCAUCGUCAUGAAAGUGGAGAUGUGUUGUGGCACCCGAGUGAUACGAAUGCUUGGAAGCAUCUCGAUGCACUAUUUCCCUCUUUCGGAAUGGAGGCAGGGAAUGUACGUUUGGGUCUUUGCACCGAUGGAUUCCAACCAUUUGGACAAUUAGGAAGACAAUAUUCUUGUUGGCCCAUAGUUGUGACACCGUACAACCUUCCCCCAAAUAUGUGCCUGAAAGAUGAAUAUUUGUUUCUUUCUGUCGUAGUACCGGGUGGUGCAAAUCCAAAACAAAAGAUUGAUGUAUAUUUGCAGCCACUUAUCGAGGAGCUGAACAUUCUAUGGUGCACUGGAGUUGAAACAUUUGAUGCAUCUCGUGGACAAUUUAAUCAUGAAAGUUGCACUAUUAUGGACUAUAGGUGAUCUACCUGCCUAUUCGAUGAUGUCUGGGUGGGGGACCUCUGGAAAGACUGCUUGCCCAAUAUGUCAGGAACAACAAUGGCUUUCACUCUAUUAAAUGGUUGCAAACAGUCGUGGUUUGAUGCUCAUCGUAAGUUUCUUCCCCAGAAUCACCCGUACCGUUUUGAUCGAUAGAAAUUUAAAAAAAGAAUUACCGACUUCAAUCCCCCGCCACCUAUCAAAACGGGAGCAGAACAACUCCAAGAGAUAGAUGGUUAUGGGUUUCUGAAAGUAACAGAGUUAGAUGCUACUGAUGUGAAUCAAAGGCUUGCCCGUGUGUGUGGAUGGCAGAAAAGAAGUAUUUUCUGGGACUUACCUUAUUGGAAGGAUUUAUUGGUACGACAUAAUCUGGAUGUUAUGCAUAUUGAGAAAAAUGUAUUCGAGAAUAUAUUCAACACGGUAAUGGAUGUGAAGGGUAAGACAAAGGAUAAUGCAAAGGCACGGGCGGACAUGACAGAACUUUUUGAUAGCAAAGAACUCGAAUAUGACAUUGUCCGUCAAUACUACCCUCCAGCUGCGUAUACAUUGGAUAAACCUCGUAGGAAAGAAUUCCUUACGUGGGUUGAAAAGUUGAAGAUGCCUGAUGGAUACAUGUCCAACCUCGGCCGAUGUGUGGACAUGACGAAAUAUCGGUUGUUUGGAAUGAAUAGCCACGAUUGUCAUGUCUUCAUGCAAAGGCUCAUUCCAAUUGGGUUUCGAGAGCUCUUGCCUAAGAAGAUUUGGGAGCCACUAACCGAGUUAAGCAACUUCUUUCGUCGGCUUACGUCAAAAGUUGUUGCUGUUAGUGAUAUGGAGAUGUUAAGAGUCUGAAAUACCCGUGAUCCUUUGCAAAUUGGAGACAAUAUUUGUUCCAGGUUUCUUUAAUAGUAUGGAAAAUCUUCCCGUUCAUCGACCACACGAGAUGAAAAUUGCUGGGCCUAUUCAAUUUCGUUGGAUGUAUCCUUUCGAGAGGUUUUUGAAUCGUCUCAAAAGGAUGGUUAAAAAUAAGGCCCAUGUUGAAGGGUCAAUUGUAAAUGCAUAUCUCGUAAGGGAGGCUAGCUUCUUUUGCUCGCACUAUUUUGAAAAACACGUCUAUACGCGUGCGAGGAAUGUUCCUAGACAAGAUGACGGUGGUGCGCCUAUUUAUGGAAAUAGUGAUACAUUGCCUGUGUUCAACCAUCCAGCCCGAUUGCAAGGCAAACCCAAGAAAUGGUUUAUAACUCCUAGAGAACGGAAUGCAAUUCAGACAUACUUUCUCCUAAAUGUCCCCGAAAUAGAUCCGUUCAUAUUGAUCUUUGACAAUGAAUUGAGGCAAUCGAAUCCACGUAUUUCAGAGGUCAAGGCUGCUUCGCAGCUUCAAAAGAACUUUAUAACAUGGUUCUACGAAUAUGUAUGUAUUUGGUGUUGACAUACAACUACUUUACUGAUCUAGUAAUAUGGUAUAAUUAUCUACUUCUCUAUGUUAGGCGGAGAACCAACAUGCUUUGGAUAAAAUUUUUCAAGAUAUUGUGCACGGCCCGUUGGUGGAGGUUACCACAUAUCCAAUUUGUUUUAUCAACGGUUACCGUUUCCACACGGAGACACAUGGAUCAAACAGGUUAACUUAUAACUGCGGGGUUUGCAUAGAUGCUGGAGGGUUAGAGUAUUAUGGAAAUAUUCAAGAAAUUAUGGAGGUUGAGUUUUAUGCUCUACCCAUAAAACGAUGCAUCUUCUUUCGUUGUGAUUGGUUCGAUCCAAGUAGUGGUGUCGGAACAAAGAAGCAUGAAAAUUACAACUUGGUUGAGGUAAACAAACGGAAAAAAUUAUGUACUUAUGAACCUUUUAUACUUGGUCUGCAAGCUACGCAGGUCAGCUAUAUUUCAUUCCCAAGUUUGAGAAAGGACAAAGAUGAUUGGUUGGUUGUUUGUCGGGUGAAACCUCGAGGUUGGAUGGAAUUGGUAGACGGAGAAGUGCUCACUCAACCAGAAACUGAGACGUACCAAGAUCCAGUUGUUGAAGCAUGCAUGAUUGAAUCUGUUAGAAUCGGGGAAUCUAUAAAUUUGGUAUCAACAAGUGGCGGAGUUGGUAUACCCUUGCAAAUGUCUGAUGACUCUGAUACAGAGGAAGAAAUCUUUCUUGAGACAUCUAGUUCUGAUGACAAUCAAUUUUACUCCUUGAGUUCGGAUGAUGAUGUGCCUUAUGACUAGAUGUCGCAGGGAUCCAAUGAACAACAACGAAGCCAGAACAUCCGCCGUCUGGCAAGGUCACAAAUGUUGUUGUAGCAAGCGGAAACGUAAGAGGAGCAACAUGAGCCGAGUUUUUCUGAGACCCAAGUAGGAGAAGGGUCAGGUACGUCUGCAGAUGCUACACCGGCCGAGAAUACACAUGCUACCACAUCACAUGUUGGAGAUUCUCAAGCAGAUAUUGUUGUUGGAGACGACCCACGUGUCGAAGUGAGAGUCGAGUCGGGUGGGAGCAUCUUCUGGCCACGUGAUGUUUCGAUUAAGUUCCGAGAUGUUUUCAAAUCAAAAUUAGUGAAGGAAGGAAGCAAGGGGCUCUCCGUACCAGAUGAUACACGCCGGUGGUAUACGACUUAGAUGAAGAAGUACAUCAUGUGGGAUCCGGCUUAUGAGGAAAAAGUCUUAAAGAAACUUAAUACUAGGGCACAAGAGGCCUAUAACAAGUGGAUGAGUGAUAUUCGAGGUGGGCGGGAUAAAACCGCACACAAGAUUAUUCCCACUGCGGUGCUCGGUGCAUGGAAAAGGGCUUGGAGCUCCAAUGAUGCACAAAAAAGGUCAAAGACUGCCAAGACUAAUAGACGUCGGGGCAAUUUAGCAAAUAAUCCAGAGUCGACGUAUACCGGGGGAUCACGCUCGUUCAUGGAGACGGCAAAAAAGUUGGUUAGUAGUAAUUUUACUUAUAUAUAAUUGUGUAUUCUUUUUGUUUGAUAUUCGAUAUGCAAUGCAUAAUCUUGAGAAAUGGGGAACGUAUGAGUGGGCUCACACGAGGAAGCACGAUAAAAAAUCAUCGUGCAACAUGAAGGCUACCCGAGUAGCGGAUAGAAUGAAACAUAUUGAAGAGAGGAUGUCCCAACUUGGGGACAAUGACUAUAGCAAGGACGAGGCGUUUCUAAGCUUAGUCCCCCUUGAUAAGAAAAAACGUAUAUUUGGGUUGGGAUCAUUGGCAUCAACGGUUCCUACUGAACAAUCAUCAUUUAACAGUGACGGCCGCACCCCUACAGUUGAACCUACAGAUAUGGAAUGCAUAAUGAGAAUAGAACACGAGCAGCAGAUUAUGAAGGAACAAAAUAUGACCAUCAUGGAACAGUUACGGAAGAUUCAGGCUCACUUAGACCGUCGUAACCCGGAGGGCGAUACCGGUGCUCCCCCGAUCGUGUGAUGUAUGUUUGCUUUAUAUUUCGUUUACUUUUGGUGUUUUCUGAAUUGAUGGAAUGUUUGCUUCAUAUUUCGUUUACUUUUGGUAUAUUCUGAAUUGAUGGAAUUUUUGCUUCAUGUUUCGUUUACUUUUGGUAUUUUCUGAAUUGAUGGAAUGUUUCCUCCAUAUUUCGUUUACUUUUUGGUAUUUUCUGAAUUGAUGGAAUGUUUACUU